rnacentral:rRNA from 1 species
CAGGCCUAACACAUGCAAGUCGAACGAGAUCUUCGGAUCUAGUGGCGCACGGGUGAGUAACGCGUGGAAACCUGCCUAUCUGUACGGAAUAACGUUUGGAAACGAACGCUAAUACCGUAUACGCCCUGUGGGGGAAAGGUCCGCCGCAGAUAGGGGGGUCCGCGUCCGAUUAGCUUGUUGGUGGGGUAAUGGCCUACCAAGGCGACGAUCGGUAGCUGGUCUGAGAGGAUGAUCAGCCACACUGGGACUGAGACACGGCCCAGACUCCUACGGGAGGCAGCAGUGGGGAAUAUUGGACAAUGGGGGCAACCCUGAUCCAGCAAUGCCGCGUGUGUGAUGAAGGCCUUAGGGUUGUAAAGCACUUUCAAUGGUGAAGAUGAUGACGGUAACCAUAGAAGAAGCCCCGGCUAACUUCGUGCCAGCAGCCGCGGUAAUACGAAGGGGGCGAGCGUUGUUCGGAAUUACUGGGCGUAAAGGGCGCGCAGGCGGUCAAUUUAGUUAGGUGUGAAAGCCCCGGGCUCAACCUGGGAACUGCACUUAAUACUGAUUGACUAGAAAGCGGAAGAGGAGAGUGGAAUUCCCAGUGUAGAGGUGAAAUUCGUAGAUAUUGGGAAGAACACCAGUGGCGAAAGCGGCUCUCUGGUCCGAU